CCCAUCCUGGCCGAGGCUGCCCAGCACAGCCGGGGGGGGGGGGGGUGCUGGAGGUGUCAUUUUGGGGACUUUAAACAAUUCCUGCAGGGGUCUCAGUGGAGGGCCCUGACCAGGGACAGUGGCAUGGAGGAGGCAGAAGCAUGAAGGAGAUGGCCAUCCUCAGCUGUUCCGCACUGGCCCACUGAUGCCAAGCGCCCUCCUGCACCCCUACCUAUUGCUACACAAGCUACCCCCCCCAACCCUCCCCAUCCCCACCACCCUACACACACAUAGUGCUUUCUGCCUAGGAUGCUUCCUCUCUCCGGACUUAGCCACCCCCUACCCCAUCCCAAAGCACCAGCGCUCUCUGCCCCAACCCGUUCUCCAUCACAUGUCUGCAUGUCCGUCCGCACAUGGGCUGUUCAUUCCUUGUCUGGAACUGGGGGACUUCCAUGCACAGGACAAGAAGAGGAGUCAUUUGUCUCCUGGCUGAAGCUGUCCUGGAGGGAGGAGGUGGGGGGGGGCAGACUUAAAUAGGGUGGGGCUGGAAGUAGGGCUUUGGGUUUUUGCACUUUAGGAGUUGUGCUCACCACUGAGGGUCAGGGAAUGGAAGAGAACAGGUCGGAACUCUGCAGUAGCUCUUCUUUCAAGGAAAACCUUCCUCCAGACUGCGGGAGUGUCCUCUCACCAUUCCUCGGGGCACUGCCCUCUCGAUCAGAUCAUUCUAGACCCUGCCUCCUGCCCCCAAGUCUUCCCGAGCGUCACCUGUGUGAGCCCCUUCUGGCACGACAGCAGCCUGGUCCCUCCGCCAGCCCACCCGCCCCCUCACCAGCAGUGCCCUUCUGAGUGAGUCACAGCCAGCUACCCAGAUAUCUGCCUCCUACCUUGUACAGGGCAAGAUCCCUCCAAGGCUACUCUGAAUCCAUCCUGCCUUCCAUUGGGAUCUGGACUCUGCCCUCUUUUAAGAACACUCCAAACGUCCAUCAACGGGAACAGAUUAUACAAAACAAAGUAUGCCUUAUGGUGGAAUGGUCCUCAGCAAGAAAAAAAAAACAACAGACUACCAAGACACUCAAAACAGGGACACAUCUCAAAAACAUUCUCCUGAACAAAAGAACCCCCCCCCACACACACACACACAUACACACACACCAUGCACUGCCUGAUUCCAUUUAUAUAACACUCCAGAAAAGGCAAGCUAAUCUACAGUGACAGAAAGCAAAGCACUGGUAGCCGGUGCUGGUGGGGGAGGGAGACUGUUGAACGGCCCGCUGUAGCCAGUCUCAGACUCCUGAGCCUCCGAAAUCCUGUGGGACAAUAAAUGCAAGUGGUUUUAAGCUGCUAGGAUGGGGCGGGGGGUGGGGAGAUAAAAAACGACCUCAUGUUCACAAAACCUAAAAAGUUGGGUAUUCCAUACCAAGCAUUGGUGAGGAUGUGAAGAAAUAAGAAGGCUCGUGCACCAUUGGUGGGAGUACAAAAUGGGGGAACCGCAGUGGAAAACAGUAUGGUGGUUCCUCACAAAAGGAAACAAUUAAAGAAGUAUCAUAUGACCCAGCAAUCCCACCCAAAAGAAUUGAAAGAAGAAAGAGAGAGAGAGAGAGGGAGAGAAAAGGAAAAAAAAGAAAAGAAAAAAAGAAAUAGAUCCAAACACAACUAUGUUCAUGGUAACAUGAGCCACAAUGGCGAGGUACCCCUUCAUGGAUGAGUGGAUGAACAGAACGUGGUACAUCCACACAAUGAGAUAGUUCUCAGCGUUCAAAAAAGAAGGACAUCCUGACACCUGCUACAAUGCAGAUCGACCUUGAGGACAUCGUACUCAGUGAUACUGGUUAUUAUCAAUGUGGAAAAACUCACGUGGGACCCAUGGGAAUGUAAAGUCGGCCGUCUUUCAUAGUGAGAGACUGUGUGAAAGCAGAGUCUCCCCUCCCCAUCUUCGGCCCACUUCAGUGCUUCCUGAGAUCACUUUCCAGGGAGACCACUGGAGUCCGAUUCCUUGUCUCAGGAUCUGCACCUAGAGGCGUCUGAACUGAGACAACACCUCAAUCCUCCACACGCCCAUCAUUUACUGAAGCCCCAUGGGGUGGCAGGCACCGUGCCAAUGUUGGGGACCCAGCGGGGAGCAGGAAUCUCAUGUGCUAGGGUCCUAGGGCUUCUAUCCCAGUGACCUCAGAGAUUCGUACAAGGGUGUAAAGUAAGGUGUCUCAGGAUGCUCACUCCGGGGGCGUGUGGGGGGCUCAGUCUAUUAAGGGUCUGCCUUCAGCUCAGGUCAUGAUCCCAGGGUCUGGGGAUGGAGCCCUGUGUUGGGCUCCCUGCUCCGCAGGGAGUCUGCUUCUCCCUUUCCCUGUGCUGCUCCCCAUGCUCUUAUGUACAUUUGCAAACGCUCUCUCUGAAAUAAAUAAAUAAAGUUGUUGUUGUUUU